AUUGAACGCUGGCGGCAUGCCUUACACAUGCAAGUCGAACGGUAACGCGGGGCAACCUGGCGACGAGUGGCGAACGGGUGAGUAAUGCAUCGGAACGUGCCUGGUAAUGGGGGAUAACUGCUCGAAAGAGCAGCUAAUACCGCAUACGACCUGAGGGUGAAAGGGGGGGAUCGCAAGACCUCCCGUUAUCAGAGCGGCCGAUGUCGGAUUAGCUAGUUGGUGGGGUAAAAGCCCACCAAGGCGACGAUCCGUAGCUGGUCUGAGAGGACGACCAGCCACACUGGGACUGAGACACGGCCCAGACUCCUACGGGAGGCAGCAGUGGGGAAUUUUGGACAAUGGACGCAAGUCUGAUCCAGCCAUGCCGCGUGCGGGAAGAAGGCCUUCGGGUUGUAACC
rnacentral:rRNA from 1 species